rnacentral:rRNA from 1 species
AAAACAUAGUCUAAAGUUUUUAUUUUAGAUAAAGCCUGCCCAGUGCUCAAUAAUAGAAGUAAAUGGCCGCAGUACCCUGACUGUGCUAAGGUAGCGUAAUCAGUUGGCUUUUAAAUGGAGUCGUGUAUGAACGGAUAAAUGGGGUGAGACUGUCUCUUUCCGGUUUAUUUGAAUUUAGUUAAAAGGUGAAAAUACCUUUAGUAAGAUAAAGGACGAUAAGACCCUAGGAGUUUCUCUAAAAGAACUAUUUUAAGUUUUACAGUUUUGCUGGGGCGGCAUAGAGGCAAAAUAACCCUCUUUAAAUGUAAGCCGAAUAUUUUAAGUGCAAUUAAACUACCCUAGGGAUAACAGCAUAAUUCUUUAAAGAGUUUGUGACCUCGAUGUUGGACUAGGAAUUAACCAGGCUAGCCGCUUGGAUGUAUUGUUCUGUUCGAACUAUUUUUCCUACGUGAUCU